rnacentral:sRNA from 2 species
UAAUAGCGUUAGGGAUAGUAGCGGCAUCCUUUUUUGUUUGUCUAUACGAGCGGAGCUAAGAAGUAUAGACGAACAAAAAAGAUAUAGCGAAUAGCCCGACCCACA